UAUGUAAUUUUCGUAUAUAAUUACAUAUAUAUAUAUAUAAUUAAAACAUGGUCAAAGAUGCUUUUGUAGGUUGCACUGACUACAACAACAAAUGAAUGCAUACGUAGUGGUGGGAAUUGCCACAAAGAGGGGCAUAGGGACACAAUGGCAAUGCAGAAGAAUGGUAGAAAAGGAAGAAGAUCGUCUUAGUGUUUAAUGGAAGUGCAGAAGGUCAUUGGGAAUUGCCAACCCAAGGGGCAUAGAGAUACAGUGGCAGUGUAGAAGAAUGGUAGAAAAGGAAGAAGUAUGUCUCAAUGUUUAACAGAAGUGCAGAAGGUCACUGGGAAUUGCCACAACAAGGGGGCAUAGGGACACAAUGGUAGUGCAGAAGAAUGGUAGAAAAGGAAGAAGACUGUCUCAGUGUUUAAUGGAAGUGCAGAAGGUCACUGGGAAUUGCCUACCCAAGGGGCAUAGAGACACAAUGGCAGUGCAGUAGAAUGGUAGAAAAGGAAGAAGUACGUCUCAGUGUUUAACAGAAGUGCAGAAGGUCACUGGGAAUUGCCACAAAAAGGGACAUAGGGACACAAUGGUAGUGCAGAAGAAUAGUAGAAAGGGAAGAAGAUCGUCUCAGUGUUUAAUGGAAGUGCAGAAGGACUCACUGGUAAUUGCCACAACAAAGGGCAUAGGGACGCAAUGGUAGUGUAGAAGAAUGGCAUAAAAGGAAGAAAACAGUCUCAAUGUUUAAUGGAAGUGUAGAAGGACUCAUGGUCUAAGUCUAAAAUGGAAGUGUAAAAGGACUCAUGGGGUGGUCCUUGUUCUCCUUGUCUCAUCUUGCUAAAUCUUCUUCCUACUAUCACGUGAAAUUGAAUUCUUCUAAGGAAGAAAUGAUCACCGCCAAUAUUGGAUUUAAUUUAUUUUUCGUUCAUAUCUGUGCAUUUAUGUUCAUAUAUUUAUAUUAUGUUUUUAUAUUUAUAUUCCAUUUUUAUAUUCACUACAAGAAAAAACACUAUUACAUACGACCAAAAUUCGUAUAUAACCUCAAAAAAUCGUAUGUAUUGAUAUGUUACAUACAGAUUACAUAUAGACAAAAUUUUGUAUGUAACAUGGUCCCAG
rnacentral:lncRNA from 1 species